rnacentral:rRNA from 1 species
UACGGGGGGGGCAAGCGUUGUUCGGAAUUACUGGGCGUAAAGGGCUCGUAGGCGGCCAACUAAGUCAGACGUGAAAUCCCUCGGCUUAGCCGGGGAACUGCGUCUGAUACUGGAUGGCUUGAGAUUGGGAGAGGGAUGCGGAAUUCCAGGUGUAGCGGUGAAAUGCGUAGAUAUCUGGAGGAACACCGGUGGCGAAGGCGGCAUCCUGGACCAACACUGACGCUGAGGAGCGAAAGCUAGGGGAGCAAACGGG